UAAUACGUAGGGUGCGAGCGUUAAUCGGAAUUACUGGGCGUAAAGCGUGCGCAGGCGGUUUUGUAAGCCAGACGUGAAAUCCCCGGGCUUAACCUGGGAAUGGCGUUUGGGACUGCAAGGCUGGAGUGCGGCAGAGGGGACUGGAAUUCCUGGUGUAGCAGUGAAAUGCGUAGAUAUCAGGAGGAACACCGAUGGCGAAGGCAGGUCCCUGGGCUGACACUGACGCUCAUGCACGAAAGCGUGGGGAGCAAACAGGAUUAGAUACCCUGGUAGUCCACGCCCUAAACGAUGUCGACUGGUUGUUGGGGGUUUGACACUCUCAGUAACGAAGCUAACGCGUGAAGUCGACCGCCUGGGGAGUACGGCCGCAAGGUUAAAACUCAAAUGAAUUGACGG
rnacentral:rRNA from 1 species